rnacentral:rRNA from 1 species
GAUGAACGCUGGCGGCGUGCCUAAUACAUGCAAGUCGAGCGAACAGAUGAGGAGCUUGCUCCUCUGACGUUAGCGGCGGACGGGUGAGUAACACGUGGAUAACCUACCUAUAAGACUGGGAUAACUUCGGGAAACCGGAGCUAAUACCGGAUAAUAUAUUGAACCGCAUGGUUCAAUAGUGAAAGACGGUUUUGCUGUCACUUAUAGAUGGAUCCGCGCCGCAUUAGCUAGUUGGUAAGGUAACGGCUUACCAAGGCAACGAUGCGUAGCCGACCUGAGAGGGUGAGCGGCCACACUGGAACUGAGUCACGGUCCAGGCUCCUACGGGAGGCAGCAGUAGGGAAUCUUCCGCAAUGGGCGAAAGCCUGACGGAGCAACGCCGCGUGAGUGAUGAAGGUCUUCUGAUCGUAAAACUCUGUUAUGAGGGAAGAACAAAUGUGUAAGUAACUAUGCACGUCUUGACGGUACCUAAUCAGAAAGCCACGGCUAACUACGUG